UACAGAGGUCUCAAGCGUUGUUCGGAUUCAUUGGGCGUAAAGGGCGCGUAGGCUGCUAGGUAAGUCGGGUGUGAAAUCUCAGGGCUCAACCCUGAAACUGCACUCGAUACUGCUCUGCUUGAGGACUGGAGAGGAGACUGGAAUUCACGGUGUAGCAGUGAAAUGCGUAGAUAUCGUGAGGAAGACCAGUGGCGAAGGCGGGUCUCUGGACAGUUCCUGACGCUGAGGCGCGAAGGCCAGGGGAGCAAACGGG
rnacentral:rRNA from 1 species